rnacentral:lncRNA from 1 species
CUGCUCUAUAAAGCCACUAGCCACAGCUGUUACGCCUGAGGGCAAAUAAAAGACAUGCUCGUGGUCGUCAGCGAAGUGGUUAGUGACUAACUUCCGCCUGGAAUUGGCUGUCAGCAUCUGUCUCGGUCUCGCCCCCCUGUCGCGCACUCGCCCUAAGUGACCCUAAGUGACCCUAAAUGACCACAAGAAACCUUCAAGACACUCGCGACUGUUAUGGCACCUCCUCUAGUGUCAAGGGUGCCGGCAGGCUGCGACAGGUUUGGCACCCUAGUUUCGGUCGGUUGGCACCACCCGGACGCCGUGAGAAG